UCACAAAGGAAUCUCUAUAAAGAUGUGAUGCUGGAGACAUAUAUGAACCUCACUGCUAUAGGCUACAAUUGGGAAGAUCUUGAAGUUGAAGAACAUUGUCAAAGUUCUCAAAAACAUGCAAGGCAUGAAAGAAGUCUUACUACAGAGAAAGCAUGUGAACAUUAUCAGUGUGGUCAAGCCUUACUUCAUCACACUCGUCCUCCAAGUAAUAAAAGAGCACAUACUGGAG